rnacentral:lncRNA from 1 species
CAAAACAUCAUUAUCUUGGGUCUUCCUAUCUCUAGCAUGUCACUGGGAUGGCGUGAAUGAAGCCGCUAUUUGCAGCAUGCAGCUCACGCCAAGCUGGUAUCAAUGAAGGCACUUAAUUGCUCUUCUUCGCAAUAUGAUGCAAUUGGCUCUUCUCUAGUAGCUCUUGUCAGUGCUGAGAUCUCAUGACUCAGUGUCAUGAGGGAGGCUUCUCCUUCCUGUGAGCAGCAAUCAGCUCCCUAGCAAAUCUCCCUGGGCUCCUGCAUAUGUGAGGACACCUCCUUUCUUUGUUGCUGGCUUCAGGAAUGCAGCAAUCAGAUGUGCAUCAAAAAUAAUUGUAUUCAGACGAAGAUAGCGAGGCUUCUCUGAGUGCUGCUGACUGCUGUCUGGGACAGAAUGCCUUGGUCUCAGACUCUUCGGUAAAGCGGCUAAAUCGUCAUCAAAAUUGUUUCCCAACGGGAACCGGGCGCUUCCGACAAGUGCCAACAGCGGCGGUGCUGUUUGCUCCGGUUUUCAGAGCAAAACCCCGCAAAACGGAGCCAGUGUCGCCAGGUGGAUGGAUGGAUGGAUGGAUGGAUAGACGGACAGAUGGAUGGAUGGAUUUGGUCCCACGGCAAACAUCGCGCUGGGAGCUUUUGCCGGAUCCUGCUGCUUUGUGGCGUUUCUUAGCAAAGACCAAAAAUAAAGAUAAUAAUAAAAAAAAAAGGAGAGCAGCGAUGCGCGGCGGGCUCGUUUGGAAGCACAAAACGAUAUUUUCUUAGCGGCGUGGGAUGAUGCCCUGGGAAUAUGUCUAAUUUUUAUUUGAAAUUUGUCUGAUUUUUAUUUUUUUAAGUAAAAAAAAAAAAAAGUCUGUGCAACCUCUGCUGUGGGGACGGAGGGGAGGCAGGAUGGGACUGGGUGGAGGCUGACACUGCCGUGAUAGCGCAGGGGAAGGAAGAGGAGCUCUCCUAGAGGAUGGAGAGGCAAGGGAUGGAUGAAGCCCGGUCCCAGCCCUUCGGAGCUAGGAAGAGAGGCAACUAGGCGGCCGCUACGAGAAGCAGCGAAGGUGUGAGGGUGGGUUUUUGGGAACUGGUCUUGUCCCGGAGCCCUCCCAGCACCUGGGGGGGGACCGCCCUAACCCUGCCCGCCCCGCCGGCACCGGGGCUGCCUGGCGCGGCCGUCGGAGCCUCUCCUCCGCGCCUUGCGCUGCUUUUAACACCGCCUUUUUCUUUUUUCCUUUUUUUUUUUUUUUUUAAAAAAAAACACUUUUAGUGUCUUUAAAAAAAAAAAAAAAAAAAAAAAAAAAGGUUGAAAUCAUUAACCAGGCGGUUAAAAAAAAAGACACUUCUAGUGUCUUUUUAAAAAAAAAAAAAAAGGUUGGAAUCAUUAACCAGGCGGAGCUCGGGCAAAUAAAAAAGAAGCUGCAGAUCAUUAUUAAAAAAAAAAAAAGGAAAGGAACCCGCUCUCAACCACCUAUCCCAUAAAAAAUCCGCUGGUGUGAGUGUCGGGGUUUGAAAGCCCCCGGGGAAAUCACCCCAAAGCACGGCGGAUCAGGUCCCGGUGGUGGUGGGGGGAGCACCGGCAGGCUGCAGGGGGAAAGGACCCCCGGAUCUCCCCCUCUCCGCCGUCCGGGGGAGGCUGCCCGGGGCCGGGGAGCAGCCGGAGGGCCGGAUCCUGCCUCCUGCAGCCGGCGGGCAAGGCUGGAGCUGCAGGCCGGCCUCGGAGCGGGGGUUUUGGGGAAAGGACAGAUAAAAAAAUAAAAGAAAUGGAGUGAGAUGGAGUGAAAUGUAAUGAAAUGAAAAGAAGAGAAAUGAAAUAAAUGAAAUAAAAAAAUGAAAUGAAAUGAAAUGAAAUGAAAUGAAAUGAAAUGAAUAAAAUAAAAUAAAAUAAAAUAAAAUAAAAUAAAAUAAAAUAAAAUAAAAUAAAAUAAAAUAAAAUAACCCAUCCGGGGCCGGUGCCCGCGGCGGUGGCUCAGCCCGCUUCAAUGUCACAGCCGCCGGGGACUGGAAUCGCUCCGUAUCACGGGGUGGCCUUGAUAAAAGGGUAUUUUAAGGAGCUCGGAUAAGGGAGCGAGAGCAGAGCGGGGGGAAGCUGCCGGCACGUCGCCUGCAAUACCCGCUGGGCUUAUCAGCCCGGCCUAAACUCGCCGGCAGUUUCUGAAGUACAUUAAGUUACAUAAACACGGCUCGGGGAAGAACUCGCUCCACGCCGCGACAGUCCCCAAAGUGACCCCCGGUCGGGGCUGCCCGCUGCGGGGACCGGCCCUGCACCGAGCUGGGGGCCGGGGAAGGAGCGGGCAGGGCGCGCCCGCAGACGGCUCUCCCCCACCCCUUUUUUGGGAGGCCGAAGUGCCCGUG